rnacentral:rRNA from 1 species
CACGUAGGGGGCGAGCGUUGUCCGGAUUUAUUGGGCGUAAAGAGCUCGUAGGCGGUUUCGUAAGUCGGAUGUGAAAACUCCAGGCUCAACUUGGAGACGCCAUUCGAUACUGCGAUGACUUGAGUCCGGUAGGGGAGUGUGGAAUUCCUGGUGUAGCGGUGAAAUGCGUAGAUAUUGGGAGGAACACCAGUGGCGAAGGCGGCUCACUGGACCGGAACUGACGCUGAGGCGCGAAAGCGUGGGGAGCAAACAGG